AACGAACGCUGGCGGCAGGCCUAACACAUGCAAGUCGAGCGGACCCUUCGGGGUUAGCGGCGGACGGGUGAGUAACGCGUGGGAAUAUGCCCUUCUCUACGGAAUAGUCCUGGGAAACUGGGGGUAAUACCAUAUACGCCCUUUGGGGGAAAGAUUUAUCGGGGAAGGAUUAGCCCGCGUUGGAUUAGGUAGUUGGUGGGGUAAUGGCCUACCAAGCCGACGAUCCAUAGCUGGUUUGAGAGGAUGAUCAGCCACACUGGGACUGAGACACGGCCCAGACUCCUACGGGAGGCAGCAGUGGGGAAUCUUAGACAAUGGGGGCAACCCUGAUCUAGCCAUGCCGCGUGAGUGAUGAAGGCCUUAGGGUUGUAAAGCUCUUUCAGCUGGGAAGAUAAUGACGGUACCAGCAGAAGAAGCCCCGGCUAACUCCGUG
rnacentral:rRNA from 1 species